UGCUUGUCUUGGGCUAGACUGCUGUAACACAUCAAUUUUCCUUACGGGAUUAAUAAAGUAUUAUCUAUCUAUCUUAUACUGUAGGGAAUUUGCCAGGAAAUGUAGGUGUGGCCUCAGUUUCUGGGAAUACUUUUCUCAGACAGAAUCCCAAAAUGGUGUGAUUCUCUGUCUCUUUCUUCUCCAGUUCGUUGUUUACAGUGAGAGGGUGUCAUAGAAAAAUAAGCUAAGAUAGCAGCUGAUUUUUUCAUUGCAGUUUUGAGAAAGCAAGGUUCAUGAGUACCAGGUUACAAGUGGAAUGACUUUCUUUUCAAAAAUCCACACUUACACAGGCUUUACAUUUGAGUAAAAAGAAGACUUUGAAAUGAAAAUGACGUUUUAAAUCCAUAUACACUAAUAUAUACAUAUACACUAAUUUUCAUAUAAAUUAUUCAAUUUCACAUACUGUAAAUUAUUUGGUUCUUUUGAAGAUGUUCAGUUGUAAAGAGCAGGUGUGAUGGGCUGUAUGUUCUUGUGAAACUUGUGGGAAAUGAAAAAGUACAAGACAGUGUUUACCUUUGAUCAAAUGGGUGAUACCAAGUCUCUAACCUCAAAGAAGAAUUGUGCUUAACAAAGCUAAACAGAUGUAUCUCUUAGUUAGCAUAACACUUAGAAAAGACAAGUACCACAUAAUAUCUUUAAAUUAUGUUGACAAGAAAAAACUAGUUACGCGAUAUAUACAUGUGUUAAAUACAUCAAAUGUCUGUUCCAAAAACAGAAAUCAAUGGGGAUUUAAACAGAAGCAUACUUUCUUAUCUACUUCAGAAAGGUAUCAUUAUGUUGGUGUUCAAAGAGUUGUGUUGACCUUAACAGUCAUGUUGUUCCAACAUCUACUCUUUUAAAAUUGGAAUUUUCUGCCUACUCUAAAAUUGAACAACCCUCUGUCAGUAUUAUCUCUAAAGCUAAUUGACAUGUAGUUCUGCCACCACUGAACUUCUGAAGUCUAAAAAAGCAAUUUAGACAGUGAGCUGCACUUGAGCAUGCUCCAGGCAAUAUCUAUGGGAUUUCAGUAAGGGUCAGUUCUCAAAUAUAGCCUCAGAGGCUUGUUUUUUUUUCCUUAUCUCGAUUACUUCUUAUUUAACACUUACAGUAAAUGGGGGCUGUUGUUUCUCAACUAGAAUCAACUUUGUAGUUCCCAGCAAAAAUAGCACUAUUUUGAAAGUUUGGGACAAUGUGUGAUGUUUUUUGUGUAUUUACAUAGCUCUCCCCGGACAAUGAGGAAAGUAAACAUUGAGGAAAACACAUUUGAACAAAGGGCUUUGCUAAUAAUUAACUCAAGUUAAAUGAAGUCACUGUUAGAUCAUUAAUUCCACCUUAUCAAAUAUAGAGUAACCAGAAUAUACUUACUUAUGCCAGCCUUGAGAUGAACCAUGGCAUAAAUUCAGAAACAGACAUAUAGACAAAAAAGGAAGAAAUAUAAGAGGAAGCAAGGACAUCAGUAUCAUUCAUCAUCAUUAUUCAGCAUCCUCAACUUCAUCAAAUGCUGUGAGCGUGUACCUCUUUCCAAUCAUGCAUGAAAUCAGAUUCUGUCCAGGAAAUCCAAAUGCUGAAAGAGUACCAGAGUGUCAUCUUUAUUGUAUAAAAAAUUCUAAAUUGCUUUAUUGUGGAAUUUGCAGUCUAAAAAUAAAUCUCCAAUUUAAGUGAUGCAUUGUGUGAAUAGGGAAGUUGGUUCUCAUUCAAUUGUGAUCAACUGUAUAGAUGUGAAGGUUUAGUUCUGAUUAGGAUCUAUUUAGUUUAUUAAGAUGCAGGGUUUUGCUCUUUCACCUAUUAAAGUGUUUUGUAUAUUAUGUUUAUUUUGUAUAUACUGUAUUAGAAUCUUUAGAAAGUUGGGUUCUAGAACUCACAGACCUGUGAGUGUCUAUAAUGUUUAUAGUGUAACUAUAGGGGUUUAUAUUAGCAGAGUGUUCUCAAACUUAAUACAGUUAACACAAUUGUGAGUGGAUAACCUUCCUAACGUAUUUAAUUUUCACUUGAGAAUUAUCCAUUUACAGUACUGGAUGUGCUCCAUUUGAACACAUAGUGGUUAGUUCAGAUCAUUCCUGAUCCUUAGUUGUAAUAAAUAGGCCACAUCAGCACUGCAAAUUGUUGUUACUAUUUACCUAAGAGGUUUUGUUUCCAGCCAGGGAGAAAGCAGUUGUAGACUAGUUAACACAUAUUUUAACAAAUUAUGCUUCUUUUCUUCAGAUGUUCAGAGUGCUGUUGAUGAAACUGUUAAAAGUGUCUUUUGAAGUUUUUCUUUCUCCCAUUAUAAAAACCUUUCUUUUCUUGGCAGAUUGCCAUCAGAUUAAGUUGCUUUCCAGCAAGUGAGUAUAAUGUCACCUGACCCUGACUUCAUAAGCACUCACAACACAGUGACCUCAUUAAAACUGCACAGUACAGCAGGAUGCUGCUUAGCAUCCUUAUCAUAGAGCUCAUGGCAAUGGGAGUGGAUGCCAACAUCUUCGCUACACUAGCACCACCGUUUCACAAUCCAGAUGGCAGAAGCAGAACUAUUCUGGUGUGUCUGGUUAGUGACUUCCUUCAUAAUGAUGUUGAGGUGACUUGGCUCUCCAGCGGAUCCAAAGGAUCUUCAGACUACAUAACCUAUAAUGUUGCAAAGGAAGAAGAUGGGACGCACAGUGCUAUUUCACUCAUUGAAGUUGCCUCAAAUGAAUGGGAUUCUUACACCUGCUUUGUGAAUUACAAGAGCACAGCAAUGCUUAUCAGCAAACACUAUGCUGACUUGACUGAAAAUGACUUGGACAACACAUGUUAUGCAGAUUUAUGGAAUGUCACUCAAGAUGGCUUAACUGGUCUAAUAUAAACGAGGGACCUGAAAAUGUCUACACAAUCUACGCUGGAGUUCUCCACUUCUUGAGGUGCUACAGUUCCCAGUGAAGACAUGAAGUAUCUGACAACGAGGAGUUCUGUGGUUUACCAGACUGCAUCAGUAUUGAUGAAAUGAUGCUAAGCGAGAGAACUUAUUUUCAAUGUCAUUUAAAUAGAUCUUUUAUUGGGACAAUUGAAGAAGUAUGUACUGAAGAUGUAAAAGGAGCAUACUGUAGUCACGAUAUCAGUGUGCACAUUUAUAUUCACCCAGUUGUUACAAGAGUAUAAUGAAACGUCUGUAUUAUACCUACUAGUGUGCACCAGACAUACAGUAUAGGAGAUUCUGAUUUUGGCUGAUGAGGAGAGGAUGUGUCUUUUCAUAAGAUUUUAUGUAAGCUGUGUAACAGACCAGCAUGAAAGCAGUGUUUUCUUAUGACCUUGACAUUUUAGAUAUCCAAGCAAAUAAGCAAAUUACUUCAUCCAGUAGAGCCUCAUGAUGCAUGGCAAAAUUUAACAGGUAGACAAAGGACACAGGGCAACAAAACGGCAUAACCUGGGCCCUUCAAAUGUGUAAUAUCAGGUUUUCUCCUGUUUCACAAUGAAAGGCAUAAGGGAAAUAACUCUACCAUUGCAAAGCAAACUCACUACCUGUAUGGAAGAUUUCCCCACCAACCUAGGUCCUCAUGCAAUUCAAUGUGUGUGGCAGAGUCUGAGAACAUCCUUGAUUCAGCCUUUCUGCAACUUGUUGUGCAUGAAACCAUCUUCUUAAAAUAGCUUUUCAUUAUCCAAUAAAUGGUCGAUAUUUAUUUAAAAUUUAAAGGAAAGGAAAGGUUCUUUGUAUUUAAGAUCUAUGCAGUUUUUUUACUUUAUACCUGAUGGCUACAUAGAAUGUUUUUCAAUCACAUUAAACCACUUUUGGCAAUAAAUUAAGACAAAGGGAAGAUUUAAA